rnacentral:rRNA from 1 species
GUCCACGCCGUAAACGGUGGGAACUAGAUGUGGGGUCCGUUCCACGGAUUCCGUGUCGCAGCUAACGCAUUAAGUUCCCCGCCUGGGGAGUACGGCCGCAAGGCUAAAACUCAAAGGAAUUGACGGGGGCCCGCACAAGCGGCGGAGCAUGCGGAUUAAUUCGAUGCAACGCGAAGAACCUUACCAAGGCUUGACAUAUAGAGGAAAAGUGCAGAAAUGCACUCCCCGCAAGGUCUCUAUACA